rnacentral:rRNA from 1 species
CCUACGGGUGGCAGCAGUCGAGAAUCUUUCACAAUGGGCGAAAGCCUGAUCCUGCGACGCCGCGUGAAGGAAUGAAGCUCUUUGGAUUGUAAACUUCUUUUAUAUGGGAGUAAAACAAAACGAUAGUACCUCAAUACGAAUAGUUUAUUAACUCUGUUCCAGCAGCCGCGGUAAUACAGAGGUCUCAAUCGUUGUGCGGAAUCACUUGUCGGAAAGCGUUCGUAGGCUGUGUCGCAAGUCUGGUGUGAAAGGCGCGGGCUCAACCUGCGGGUGGCACAUGAUACUGCGAGAUUUGAGUAAUGGAGGGGGAGCCGGAAUGCUUGGUGUAGCAGUGAAAUGCGGAGAUAUCGAGAGGAACACUCGUGGCGAAGGCGGGUUACUAGACAUUAACUGACGCUGAGGCACGAAGGCCAGGGGAGCGAAAGGGAUUAGAUACCCCAGUAGUC